rnacentral:rRNA from 1 species
UACGUAGGGUGCAAGCGUUGUCCGGAAUUAUUGGGCGUAAAGAGCUCGUAGGUGGCUUGUCGCGUCUGCUGUGAAAUCUCAAGGCUCAACCUUGAGCUUGCAGUGGGUACGGGCAGACUAGAGUGUGGUAGGGGAGACUGGAAUUCCUGGUGUAGCGGUGAAAUGCGCAGAUAUCAGGAGGAACACCGAUGGCGAAGGCAGGUCUCUGGGCCACUACUGACGCUGAGAAGCGAAAGCAUGGGGAGCGAACAGG